GAGUUUGAUCGUGGCUCAGGAUGAACGCUGGCGGCGUGCUUAACACAUGCAAGUCGAACGGGAAUUAUCUUAAUGAAACUUCGGUCGAUCUAAAAUAAUUCUAGUGGCGGACGGGUGAGUAACGCGUGGGUAACCUGCCUUAUACAGGGGGAUAACAGCCGGAAACGGCUGCUAAUACCGCAUAAGCGCACAGAGGCGCAUGCUUCAGUGUGAAAAACUCCGGUGGUAUAAGAUGGACCCGCGUUGGAUUAGCUAGUUGGCAGGGCAGCGGCCUACCAAGGCGACGAUCCAUAGCCGGCCUGAGAGGGUGGACGGCCACAUUGGGACUGAGACACGGGCCCAGACUCCUACGG
rnacentral:rRNA from 1 species